AAAGUUAAAGUUAUGUCAUUUGACAACAAAAUCAUGAACUGAAUCAAUUAUAUCACUCAGAAUAUAUAAGUCACUUUUCUUAUGGUUUGAUCUCAUAAUUUAUCAUAAACAUUUAUACAUAUAAUCAUGAUUAGUUUGAGAAUAUUAGUAGGAUAUAGGCUUAUAUUAGAUCUUUAGUAUUAGCACAGUCCUGUCUUGUUUAUAGCCAAUUACUCUAUUUUCGAUAUACAAAUUAGAUUUCCAAGAAAUUCUGCAUCAGAUUACAGGUUCAUGAAGGGGAGAAAAAAAAAUCAAAAAAUCAUUUGUUUGGAUUGCUUUGCUCGGUCGCAAUUUCUUGUACAGUUACUGUUCGGAUCUUGAAUCGGCCAAGUUUCCGAGACAGUGAUUGUAGGACACCAGAUCGACCACGAGUUCUGGUUGAAUAAGCCCUUUUAGUCAGAAACACGCGUUUCUUUGUGGUUGCAUAUGGUGUGCAGUGAGAAGAAUGAUAAUGGCUACCCUUUCUCAGUCCUGGCAAGUUGGGAGUAAUGGAGUUGAAGUUGUACCAAUUGGUUGAAGUUGAUUCUGCAGGUGCACCAGUGUGUGCGACGUGUGAUUCAGAAGCUAUGCCUUCCCUUUGCAAUGUUUGCAUGUUCUCAGUUUGAAAAUUUGAAACUAGUGUUGUACCAAAACCUGGUAUAAUGAGUAGUGAUGGAUGAAAGAAAUGAAAAUUAUGCAGAUGAAAUUGGUGGUAGUGGUUAAGUUAACAGAAAUAUUAAGUGUUGGAGAGUACAAUGU
rnacentral:lncRNA from 1 species